ACUCCUACGGGAGGCAGCAGUGGGGAAUAUGCACAUGGGAACCUGAUGCAGCCAUGCCGCGUGUGUGAAGAAGGCCUUCGGGUUGUAAAGCACUUUCAGUAGGGAGGAAGGUAGUGUAGUUAACACCUGCAUUAUUUGACGUUACCUACAGAAGAAGCACCGGCUAACUCCGUGCCAGCAGCCGCGGUAAUACGGAGGGUGCGAGCG
rnacentral:rRNA from 1 species